rnacentral:rRNA from 1 species
UACCGUUAGUAACGGCGAGUGAAGCGGUAAAAGCUCAAAUUUGAAAUCUGGUACUUUCAGUGCCCGAGUUGUAAUUUGUAGAAUUUGUCUUUGAUUAGGUCCUUGUCUAUGUUCCUUGGAACAGGACGUCAUAGAGGGUGAGAAUCCCGUUUGGCGAGGAUACCUUUUCUCUGUAAGACUUUUUCGAAGAGUCGAGUUGUUUGGGAAUGCAGCUCAAAGUGGGUGGUAAAUUCCAUCUAAAGCUAAAUAUUGGCGAGAGACCGAUAGCGAACAAGUACAGUGAUGGAAAGAUGAAAAGAACUUUGAAAAGAGAGUGAAAAAGUACGUGAAAUUGUUGAAAGGGAAGGGCAUUUGAUCAGACAUGGUGUUUUUUGCAUGCACUCGCCUCUCGUGGGCUUGGGCCUCUCAAAAAUUUCACUGGGCCAACAUCAAUUCUGGCAGCAGGAUAAAUCAUUAAGAAUGUAGCUACUUCGGUAGUGUUAUAGCUUUUUGGAAUACUGUUAGCCGGGAUUGAGGACUGCGCUUCGGCAAGGAUGUUGGCAUAAUGGUUAAAUGCCGCCCGUCUAAAAACCGGGGACAAAAAAAAAACAAAAAAAAAAAAAAAAAAAAAAAAAAAAU